rnacentral:misc_RNA from 1 species
UGGUUCUGGCAUCGAUGAAGAACGCAGCGAAAUGCGAUAAGUAAUGUGAAUUGCAGAAUUCAGUGAAUCAUCGAAUCUUUGAACGCACAUUGCGCCCGCCAGUAUUCUGGCGGGCAUGCCUGUUCGAGCGUCAUUUCAACCCUCAAGCACUGCUUGGUGUUGGGGCCCUACCGCCAGGUAGGCCCUGAAAGUUAGUGGCGGGCCCGCUGGAAGCCUAAGCGCAGUAACUAACCUCGCUUCUGGUGACCAGCGCCUCCUUGCCGUUAAACCCCCAAUUUUCCACGGUUGACCUCGGAUCAGGUAGGAAUACCCGCUGA